CAGGUUACCCGCGACAGGACGGAAAGACCCCGUGGAGCUUUACUGUAGCCUGAUAUUGAAAUUCGGCACAGCUUGUACAGGCUAGGUAGGAGCCUUUGACACGUGAGCGCUAGCUUACGUGGAGGCGCUGGUGGGAUCCUACCCUCGCUGUGUUGGCUUUCUAACCCGCACCACUUAUCGUGGUGGGAGACAGUGUCAGGCGGGCAGUUUGACUGGGGCGGUCGCCUCCUAAAAGGUAACGGAGGCGCUCAAAGGUUCCCUCAGAAUGGUUGGAAAUCAUUCAUAGAGUGUAAAGGCAUAAGGGAGCUUGACUGCGAGACCUACAAGUCGAGCAGGGUCGAAAGACGGACUUAGUGAUCCGGUGGUUCCG
rnacentral:rRNA from 1 species